UGGACAGAUUUGGCUACUUUGGCUAGCCCA
rnacentral:piRNA from 1 species